GACUGGGAUAACACCUGGAAACAGAUGCUAAUACCGGAUAACAACACUAGACGCAGGUCUAGAGUUUGAAAGAUGGUUCUGCUAUCACUCUUGGAUGGACCUGCGGUGCAUUAGCUAGUUGGUAAGGUAACGGCUUACCAAGGCAAUGAUGCAUAGCCGAGUUGAGAGACUGAUCGGCCACAUUGGGACUGAGACACGGCCCAAACUCCUACGGGAGGCAGCAGUAGGGAAUCUUCCACAAUGGUCGAAAGUCUGAUGGAGCAACGCCGCGUGAGUGAAGAAGGGUUUCGGCUCGUAAAGCUCUGUUGGUAGUGAAGAAAGAUAGAGGUAGUAACUGGCCUUUAUUUGACGGUAAUUACUUAGAAAGUCACGGCUAACUACGUGCCAGCAGCCGCGGUAAUACGUAGGUGGCAAGCGUUGUCCGGAUUUAUUGGGCGUAAAGCGAGUGCAGGCGGUUCAAUAAGUCUGAUGUGAAAGCCUUCGGCUCAACCGGAGAAUUGCAUCAGAAACUGUUGAACUUGAGUGCAGAAGAGGAGAGUGGAACUCCAUGUGUAGCGGUGGAAUGCGUAGAUAUAUGGAAGAACACCAGUGGCGAAGGCGGCUCUCUGGUCUGCAACUGACGCUGAGGCUCGAAAGCAUGGGUAGCGAACAGGAUUAGAUACCCUGGUAGUCCAUGCCGUAAACGAUGAGUGCUAAGUGUUGGGAGGUUUCCGCCUCUCAGUGCUGCAG
rnacentral:rRNA from 1 species